CGGGAUCUCACCUUGUUUAAAAAUUUUGGAAAAUCGACACGGUAGUAUUUUCGUUUGUAUUUGACAAACAUUGUUCAAUUAUAGACUAACUAGGUUCAAAAGGUUCGUCUCGUCAAUUUCGACCAAACUAUACAAUUAGUUUUUAUUUUCGUUUAUAUUUAAUACUACAUGCAUGCGUCUAAAGAUUUGAUGUGACGUAGAAUGUGAAAAAUUUUGCAAAAUUUUCAGGAAACUAAACAAGGCCCUGAUGAUCAUCAACCUAGGCGGCGGCUAGGCCCGGUAGCUGCCGACCAAGUUCGUUCAUUGGUCUUGUCUCCUUCCGACUCAUCAUGGGCAGACGAGACGACCCUUCCAUUGUUGUACGACCGAUCGACUGCAGCCAUCUGAUGUCCAUCCGGCCGUCGUCCACGCCGCAUAAGCUACUGCUCCUGUGAUCGAUCUUGAAUUCUUCCUAAAGAAAACGCGGCUACAGUGGAGACAAGUCCUAUCGCUAUCGGAAGCGACAAAACACAGCGCGGUUUUCGAAAUGAGCUGUGUAGGGUGCUGAGCUACUUGUUUAGUUCGCAAAAUUUUUCGUUUUUGGAUACUGUAGCAUUUCGUUUUUAUUUGACAAACAUUGUCCAAUCAUGGAGUAACUAGACUCAAAAGAUUCAUCUCACAAAUUACAUGUAAACUGUGCAAUUAGUUUUUAUUUUCGUCUAUAUUUAAUGUUCCAUGCAUGCGACCAAAGAUUCGAUGUGACGGGGAAUCUUGAAAUUUUUU
rnacentral:lncRNA from 1 species